UGGGGAAUAUUGCACAAUGGGCGCAAGCCUGAUGCAGCCAUGCCGCGUGUAUGAAGAAGGCCUUCGGGUUGUAAAGUACUUUCAGCGGGGAGGAAGGCGAUAAGGUUAAUAACCUUGUCGAUUGACGUUACCCGCAGAAGAAGCACCGGCUAACUCCGUGCCAGCAGCCGCGGUAAUACGGAGGGUGCAAGCGUUAAUCGGAAUUACUGGGCGUAAAGCGCACGCAGGCGGUCUGUCAAGUUGGAUGUGAAAUCCCCGGGCUCAACCUGGGAACUGCAUUCGAAACUGGCAGGCUAGAGUCUUGUAGAGGGGGGUAGAAUUCCAGGUGUAGCGGUGAAAUGCGUAGAGAUCUGGAGGAAUACCGGUGGCGAAGGCGGCCCCCUGGACAAAGACUGACGCUCAGGUGCGAAAGCGUGGGGAGCAAACA
rnacentral:rRNA from 1 species